AAGUCGUAACGAGGUCUCCGUAGGUGAACCUGCGGAGGGAUCAUUAUUGAAAUGGCUCCGCUUUCAACCUUCAAACCUGUGGGAAGCAAAACCCGUGCUUCGGGGGCUUUGGCCCCGCACUUAUGCAGCAAAGCGUUUUGUCUGAAUCAAAAGCAAGAAUUAAAA
rnacentral:misc_RNA from 1 species